UUCAGGCAGGGCUCACGGGAGGUGGAUGUCUGGAGGAUGGGAAGCAGCCAGGUGACUGACAACCAUGUAGGCUGGGCGCAGCACUGAGGAGUAGGGACAAAAGGAGCUGACCCUGCAGGGGGAAUUGAUGGCUUUGCUGAGGGAGGACUGCGGAGGUAGGAAAAAUCUGAGGGAUUUCACUUAGAGAGAAUUUAAGGUUAUUUCUCUACCUCUCCACAGCUCAAGGAGACUGAGAGUUAGCAGCUCUCAGCAGGCUUUAUCAAUUCUGCCAGCACAGAGAAGCUGAUAUAGUUAUGCUCAUGUAACAACUCACGUGAUGUUCUUAUUCCUGAAUUAAUACUUCUCUUGUUUUUUUUCUCCAUCUUGUUUAAAUCUUGUGUAAAGCUGAACUGUAUUUAAAACAAAACAAAUGAACAAGGACAAACAAACCACAAAGGAAUUUUUUUUUAUGUACCUUAAGCAGUUUAAUUCAGCCCUUGCAGUGUCAUGGUAUAAUACCAGCAUAUGCUCAGCUCUUAGUGAACUGUUUCCCUUGCUUUAGGGCUAAUAUUGGCUAGAAAUGGAGACCUGCAGGAGAUAAACAGCAGUAAAGCCAAUUGCAGAUGAGCUUAGCUAAAAGCAAGAGAUACAGUCUCAGUGCAUACCAAAAGACAGCGUGCAAGGCUAAUAUAUCAUGCAAAUGGUGGACUAGGAGCAUUUAGGCAUGGAUGGGCUGUGGGCUGUGCAGAAGGAGUGAAUCUCUCUGCAUUCAGCUAUGCGCUCGUGUGUGCGCGUCUCACUCCCCCUCCACUGCUCCCCCCGUCUCCAUCUCUCCCAGACAGGCAAACAGACCUGCUUCCUCCUUUGUGCUGCCAGUCAGGUCCUCCCUCUGCAGUCCUAUACGGGAAGAAGAUUUAUAAUAGCUGCAUGCCAUGCCAGUGUCUCAAAGAGACAGCAUCACGCCAUGUGGAGGAUUUUUAUAUGGGGUUUAACUUUGCUCCACUGAAUUGGAAAGGCUCUCAGUUGCCUGACUCUUACCUCUCUGACUACUGUCCAGGCUUUUCCCUUAGUUGUACACAGAUUUCUCCAAUGACAUAGAAGCCUUUACUCCAGAUGGAAAAAUCAGUUCCCCUGGGAAGAUGUAAGCCAGCAUUUAUGGGGUCUUUUAUGACAUGCGGAGGAACUGAAUUCUUGGAAAAUUACAAGAAGGAAGGUCAUGAUUCCUGCUGAAAUACAGGAGGAAUCCUACCUCUUUUACGGUCCUGUGAUAGGGGCAACAGAGUUGAUGAAUGGAUGUUAAUUGCCGGUGUAUGUCUCAGCAAAACUGAGUGGAAAUCAAGGUUAAUGUGUCUUCUCCUAAACUUUUAAUAUUGUUCCUCUGGAGGAUCAAGUUCAAAUCACUCCAGCCAGCAACCUCUGCACAAACAGGUUAAUUUGUGAUUCAAAUGUAUAACUCCACACAAAAAGAAGUAUAAGCAGUAGCUUUAAUACUUAAUGACUAGCAGUAAAUUUAUGUCUGAGAGGAAGAUACUCAUCUCAGCCUUUCUUAAGAGAGCUUGAUUUUUCUUGUAUCACAGGGAGUUUACAGAAAGCACUGUUUCUUACUUUGUCUGGGAGCCGAAAGCUGUUAAAAAAUGAACGUAUCUAAAUAUCUGAGCUCAUAAUUCAAAUUAGAUUACAUUGAAAGCUUAACAGUGGAGGUACUAAGGACAUGGAAACAUGGAACAAAAUCAGUACAAAAAGGUUAUUCUCUAAAGAAGAUGUCAACCAGAAGCAGUCAGAUACUGAGAUCAGAAUGAAAAUGCAGUGUGAGAGCCUUUUGAAGAAAGCAGAUUUAUUAUUAUUACAAUUUUCAUAUAUUGCCAAAGGUACAGAGAAAAUGAGGUCACAAGAGACCAGAGUCACAAAACUGUGAUUCCUUUUAUAUCAAAAUGACUCUCAAAGGCUUUCUUAAACAAGAGUGGAAGACAAUGUACUUACUCAUGGAGUAUCGCGUUAAGAUUCCAACCAGGAAAAGACAAGUAGCACAUAACUAAGGAAGAAACACUGCUUUUAUAGAACAUACUAGCGCUUUGCUCAUGCAUUUCACAGAGUGAUGGCACACACUUCCAGUAAUGCAAGAUAAACUCAGUUAAAAAAGCUUAGAACUCUGCACGUUAAAAGGAGAUUCCAAAGAAGGGAUAUGAUGAAGGUCUGUAAGUUCCUGUUCACAUUCUCCAUGCUACUCAUGAAGUGACUACUGGCUAGUACUCACAACAAGGAAUAGGAAUGGAAAUAAAAAUACCAGCCAAAGUGUGCAGAGUAGGCAAAGGAGACUACAUUUGCAUGGAGGGCAUGACUAUGCUCUGGAACUUUUACUAUUCUAACUUAUUGUCUAUGUGUGCCGACAACAGCAAAGAGAGGUCAGACAAAUUUUGAUGAAGGCUGCAUUCUCUCUAUAACUACACUUCUUUUUUCUCAGGUGAUAAGUGAUAGGAUGUCAGGAAGCAGUCUCAAGAUGAGCCAAGGGAGUCACAGAUUAAACAUUAGGAAUAAUUUCUUUAUGGAAAGGUUGGUUAGGCAUUAGAAAGAUCUGUCCAGGAAGAUGGUGGAGUCCCCAUCCCUGAAGCUAUGUAAGAGAUGUAUGAACAUGUGCUCGGGGAUGUAUGUUAGUAGUGGAUUUGGUAGUGUUAGGCUGAUGGCUGGACUUGACCUCAGAGGGUCUUUUCCAACAAGAUUCUAUAAAAAGUUGUUUAAUGGUGAACUGUGUGUACAGUCCUCAGCAUGCUCAAGUAACGUAGUACCAGAAAACAGAAAGAUAUUAGUAGAACUGUAUUAGUCCUCCUAUAGAGGACUCCUGGGCUUUGGUUAUUACUAUCAGAAACAGGUCAAGAUGGACCUUUUGUGUUAUUUUGUACUUGUUUCCUCUCCACUGUGUACUUUUGUUUAGAGGAGAAUUUCUCAAGGGAAGGAUGAAAAGAGGUGUUCAGAUCUCAGUGACUGUCAGUCAUAUUGACUUUUGUUCCUCUGAACAAUUUUCACUUAGUUUUUAUUGAUUAACCAUUAUUAUUAGAUCAACGUUGUUAUAGUUGUGUGCAUAACUUAAAAUUACAAUUCAAUGUUUGAAAGCAUUUCAUUUUGAGUACUGGUGUUGAAAAUAAUUUUCAAACAGGCUAGACCCACUAAAUGUUGUGUUUGCACCUCAGAAAACUUGAUCUGGUCUUUUUUUGUUCUUUUUUUUUUUU
rnacentral:lncRNA from 1 species